AAUUAACGAUAUGUUCCUUUUAUAUCUCCUUGCAAAUUUCCUGCUUCUUCCUUUGCUCUCCAAUUGCGAGGAUAUAUUUAUUCUAUCUCUUUAUGAGAGAAAUAAGCAUACUCGCAUGUAUCGGAUUUUCAUCGUGUUGAUUCAAUGUAUAAAAGUAUGCCGAAGAGGUUAACGAUCAAAUCCCCUACGCAGGAAAAACUCGAUUGACGUUCCUGACAAUCUCUGACAUUAUAGUAUAAUUAUAAUUUACGAUCGAGAAGAAAGCGAAAGAGAAGAAAUUAACGAAAGAAACAGAGAUUAAUAGAUAUAUACAUAUACUGGCUAAUAGUCGAGAGACACCACUGUGAAAACUAAUCAACGAUUCGCAAACUACAAAUGAACAAUACAUUCUUACUCUUGCUUAAAAAAUAUCAUUAAUGAUGAUGGAGUAUAUUAUAAUCUCCUACGUAUCUUAUGUAUGUGUUUAUUUAUAUAUUAUUUUUUAAUGGGUUAUUAUUUUCAUCUGCAAAAUUUACGGUUUUGACAUUGGUAUUACAAUUAACGCGAUUCUAGGAGUUAGCAGGAUUCUAAGUAACAACACUCAAUUAAUACAUAUAAUAAUUCAA